GAGCUUUCUUUGCUAGUACUUAUAUUAAAAUUGUAACACUGCAGAGAAUAUUAACAUGGCCUUUUUUUUAAGGAUGACACACAUUCGUGAAGCAUUCCAUGUGCAU
rnacentral:snRNA from 1 species